rnacentral:rRNA from 1 species
UACGUAGGUCCCGAGCGUUGUCCGGAUUUAUUGGGCGUAAAGCGAGCGCAGGUGGUUUAUUAAGUCUGGUGUAAAAGGCAGUGGCUCAACCAUUGUAUGCAUUGGAAACUGGUAGACUUGAGUGCAGUAGAGGAGAGUGGAAUUCCAUGUGUAGCGGUGAAAUGCGUAGAUAUAUGGAGGAACACCGGUGGCGAAGGCGACUCUCUGGUCUGUAACUGACGCUGAGGAGCGAAAGCGUGGGGAGCGAACAGG